rnacentral:misc_RNA from 1 species
GGCCUUGGUCCUUUCAAUUAAAUGAUUGACAAGACUUUCAAACUUCGACCUCGUCAAAGUGAUGUUCAGAUGCUUUGCACCAGUUGCAUCAGCAGUGAUAAAUGGCAGGUUAAUUUCAGUCUGAGAUGUAGAUGAGAGUUCGAUCUUCGCCUUUUCUGCAGCUUCUCUAAGCCUCUGCAAGGCAAGCCUGUCCUUUGUAAGGUCAAUUCCCUCACUUCGCUUGAACUCGCUCACUAGGAAGUCCAAAAGAGCAUUGUCAAAAUCCUCUCCACCCAAGAAUGUGUCACCAUUU